GAUGAACGCUGGCGGCGUGCCUAAUACAUGCAAGUCGAGCGAACAGAUGAGGAGCUUGCUCCUCUGACGUUAGCGGCGGACGGGUGAGUAACACGUGGAUAACCUACCUAUAAGACUGGGAUAACUUCGGGAAACCGGAGCUAAUACCGGAUAAUAUAUUGAACCGCAUGGUUCAAUAGUGAAAGACGGUUUUGCUGUCACUUAUAGAUGGAUCCGCGCCGCAUUAGCUAGUUGGUAAGGUAACGGCUUACCAAGGCAACGAUGCGUAGCCGACCUGAGAGGGGGGCCGGCCCAACGGGACACGGGACCCGGGCCCGGCCCCUACGGGAGGCCGGCGGUGGGAAUCUGCCGCAAGGGGCGAAAGCCUGACGGGGCCACGCCGCGUGAGUGAUGAAGGUCUUCGGAUCGUAAAACGCUUUUAUUUGGGAAGAACAAAUGUGUAAGUAACUAUGCCAGUCUUGACGGUACCUAAACAGAAAGCCCCGGCCAACUUCCU
rnacentral:rRNA from 1 species